AGGGUUUGAUCAUGGCUCAGGAUGAACGCUGGCGGCGUGCCUAAUGCAUGCAAGUCGAGCGACGCAUACCGGAGGGGUAACCCACUGGUAUGACGGAGCGGCGAACGGGUGAGUAACACGUGAGCAACCUGCCCCACAGACCGGGACAGCCCAGGGAAACUUGGAUUAAUACCGGAUGACCUCGGAGGAUCGCAUGAUCCAUUGAGGAAAUGCCUUUGUGCUGUGGGAUGGGCUCGCGACUUAUCAGCUAGUUGGUGGGGUAACGGCCUACCAAGGCGUCGACGAGUAGCUGAUCUGAGAGGAUGAUCAGCCACACUGGAACUGAAAUACGGUCCAGACUCCUACGGGAGGCAGCAGUGGGGAAUUAUUGCGCAAUUGGGGGAAACCCUGACGCAGCAACGCCGCGUGAGUGAAGAAGGCUUUCGGG
rnacentral:rRNA from 1 species